CUGUCCCCUGUGCUCCUGUUCCCCGUGGCUGCCCAGGGACAGUGACUCGAAGGAAUUGGGUCUUGAGACACAGCCGAGCCUGUGAGCGCUGACCUGUGUAAAGAAGACACCAGAAUGAGAUGUCUCCACACACAGAGAGCUGCAGCCGAUGCCGGCCGGUGACUUGGGACUUGGAUGCUUAACAGGAGGCUCCCCCUCUCUUGGGAGGUAGAGAGCAGUGAGGAAGGGGACUCAGCCUCCAUGCCUCCCGCCAGCCCAGCUGCGCCCGAAUCACCUCCCUCCUGAAAGGAUGUCAGCCUCUGCUUGGACACCGUGGAGACAGGGCCCUCCUUGUGCUUCAGAAGCAUCAACGUGUCAGAAAAUCAUCUUCACGCCAAGUCUGGAAAAAAUGGCUUUGAGGUUGUGCACACAAAGGAAGGAGGGAGAGCCCCAGGUGUCGCGGAGGACCAUGCGGCUGACAGAGCCAGCAGGGCGGUGGCGUGUGAGCCGUGCUCUGGAUAUAUAAGGAUCUGACGCUGCUGGCAAUGUCUGAGCUCUAUGCUCGCCCAUCUGUCGGCUGCUAUCAUCACCGGGUGGGAUUAGCGGAG
rnacentral:lncRNA from 1 species